UGUUGAAAUUUUCAUCCAUUUCUACUGUUAAAAAUUGGCAUGGCAGACAAAAUAAUCAGAAAAUUACAUGUGACAUGCCACAUGUACCUCAUUCUGACAUACAGGGACCAAGUUUUAACAGUACAAAUGGAUGAAAUUUUUAACA
rfam:Gossypium raimondii Chr07_contig_1371, whole genome shotgun sequence.